GAUGAACGCUGGCGGCGUGCCUAACACAUGCAAGUCGAACGGAGAUUACGGACGGAAGUUGUCGGAUGGAAGACCGUACGUCUUAGUGGCGGACGGGUGAGUAACGCGUGGGCAAGCUGCACUAUACAGGGGGAGAGGAGCUGGAAACGGCGGGUAAGACCGCAUAAGUCGGCGGGAGCGCAUGGUCGUGGCGGGAGAUUAGCAAUCAGGCAUAGGAUGGGCUCGCGUCGGAUUAGCCAGGCGGCAGGGUAAAAGCCUACCAAAGCAACGAAGGGUAGCCGGGCUGAGAGGCCGGACGGCCACAUUGGGACUGAGACACGGCCCAAACUCCGACGGGAGGCAGCAGUGGGGGAUACUGCACAAUGGAGGAAACUCUGAUGCAGCGACGCCGCGUGAGUGAAGAAGUAUGUCGGUAUGUGAAGCUGUAUCAGCAGGGAAGAUGAUGACGGUACCUGACUAAGAAGCCCCGGCUAACUACGUG
rnacentral:rRNA from 1 species